ACGGAGGGGACUAGCGUUGUUCGGAAUUACUGGGCGUAAAGCGCACGUAGGCGGAUUUGUAAGUCAGGGGUGAAAUCCCGGGGCUCAACCUCGGAACUGCCUUUGAUACUGCAAAUCUCGAGUCCGGAAGAGGUGAGUGGAAUUCCUAGUGUAGAGGUGAAAUUCGUAGAGAUCCGGAGGAACACCAGUGGCAAAGGCGACACGCUGGGCCGUACCUGACACUGAUGCGCGACAGCAUGGGGAGCAAACAGGA
rnacentral:rRNA from 1 species